UACGUAGGUGGCAAGCGUUGUCCGGAUUUAUUGGGCGUAAAGGGCGCGUAGGCGGCCACGCACGUCCGUUGUGAAAUCGCCCGGCUCAACUGGGCGGGGUCAGCGGAUACGGUGUGGCUCGAGCAAGCUAGGGGGCAAUGGAAUUCCCGGUGUAGUGGUGGAAUGCGUAGAUAUCGGGAGGAACACCAGUGGCGAAGGCGGUUGCCUGGAGCUUUGCUGACGCUGAGGCGCGAAAGCGUGGGGAGCGAUCCGG
rnacentral:rRNA from 1 species